rnacentral:rRNA from 1 species
AACGAACGCUGGCGGCAGGCUUAACACAUGCAAGUCGAACGCACCGCAAGGUGAGUGGCAGACGGGUGAGUAACACGUGGGGAUCUGCCCAAUGGUACGGAAUAGCUCCGGGAAACUGGAAUUAAUACCGUAUGAGCCCGCAAGGGGAAAGAUUUAUCGCCAUUGGAUGAACCCGCGUCGGAUUAGCUAGUUGGUGUGGUAAAGGCGCACCAAGGCGACGAUCCGUAGCUGGUCUGAGAGGAUGAUCAGCCACACUGGGACUGAGACACGGCCCAGACUCCUACGGGAGGCAGCAGUGGGGAAUAUUGGACAAUGGGCGCAAGCCUGAUCCAGCCAUGCCGCGUGAGUGAUGAAGGCCUUAGGGUUGUAAAGCUCUUUCGCCGACGAAGAUAAUGACGGUAGUCGGAGAAGAAGCCCCGGCUAACUUCGUGCCAGCAGCCGCGGUAAGAC